rnacentral:rRNA from 2 species
GGCGUGCCUAAUACAUGCAAGUCGAACGCACUCUCGUUAGAUUGAAGAAGCUUGCUUCUGAUUGAUAACAUUUGAGUGAGUGGCGGACGGGUGAGUAACACGUGGGUAACCUGCCCUAAAGUGGGGGAUAACAUUUGGAAACAGAUGCUAAUACCGCAUAAAACCUAGCACCGCAUGGUGCAAGGUUGAAAGAUGGUUUCGGCUAUCACUUUAGGAUGGACCCGCGGUGCAUUAGUUAGUUGGUGAGGUAAAGGCUCACCAAGACCGUGAUGCAUAGCCGACCUGAGAGGGUAAUCGGCCACACUGGGACUGAGACACGGCCCAGACUCCUACGGGAGGCAGCAGUAGGGAAUCUUCCACAAUGGACGAAAGUCUGAUGGAGCAACGCCGCGUGAGUGAAGAAGGUUUUCGGAUCGUAAAACUCUGUUGUUGGAGAAGAACGUAUUUGAUAGUAACUGAUCAGGUAGUGACGGUAUCCAACCAGAAAGCCACGGCUAACUACGUGCCAGCAGCCGCGGUAAUACGUAGGUGGCAAGCGUUGUCCGGAUUUAUUGGGCGUAAAGCGAGCGCAGGCGGUUUCUUAAGUCUGAUGUGAAAGCCUUCGGCUCAACCGAAGAAGUGCAUCGGAAACUGGGAAACUUGAGUGCAGAAGAGGACAGUGGAACUCCAUGUGUAGCGGUGAAAUGCGUAGAUAUAUGGAAGAACACCAGUGGCGAAGGCGGCUGUCUGGUCUGUAACUGACGCUGAGGCUCGAAAGCAUGGGUAGCAAACAG